rnacentral:piRNA from 1 species
UGAAUCUUUUGGAGAGUUCCCCCAG